GGGGUGGUAGUGCAGUUGGCUAGUACGCUGGGCUCAUGUUCCAGAGGUCGGGAGUUCAAUUCUCUCCCACCCCA